ensembl:lncRNA
UGAUAGUACAGGGUGAGCUGCACAAAGUGGUCUUCCUGCUAGGGCACACCGCCUCAGUGCUAACAGUAUAACUCUGGUUCAUAGGCUCAUGAUUACUGCAUACAAUGUUCCGAGAUAGCCCUCCUGAUUUCGCUUGACCCCACAUGGACUACGACAGCAUCAGCUCCCGGCAUCUGUGGUAGAUCAGUCGGAAGCAGCCUUGUUAUGUUCUGUACUCCGUGCUCCUGGGUAGCACUGUGUUUUUGCAUUGGGAACCGAGAUGUUUCUCACCAUAGAGCUGCCAAUGAUGACAGCUGGUGAUGUUGAAUGGAAAGGUGUCUCAGGCAGCCUCACGGUCUGAUGAGGGUGUUGGUGCUGAGAAUCUGAACCAGAUGUAGAAGCCACUGGAGAGGAAGACAGAACAGAGGACGAAUACGCAGGUACCUCCGAAUCCAAUAUCGAAUGGGAAGCCCCUAAGGAAGAGGGGCCAGGAACCUCUGAAUCCAGGGCGACAAAGCGGUCUGUGACGGUCCGGGCAUAACAUCUCUAAGGAGGCCCCUGUUGCCAGAGGACGCUUUCUUCGACUUCCACAGCGAGUGACGUACCUCAAUGGCUGAUUGGUUGGGUCAAGAACAGUUCCAUUCUCCAGGGAAGGGGGAGACCCCAUCGGGGAAAGAUCCCUGCUGAGCACCGGCUAGUCGGCUGUGGAGAGCCGGGGUGGAAGAAAAAGAAAAAGUAGGCAGAUGUGGAUUCCCCAGUAGCUUGUGUAGGUUUUCUACCUGCUAUCUAAGUGUAGCCACUUCGCUACUGUAGUUCUCCACAAGCAAGCAAUUGCUACAAUGAAAGUCAGCGCAGUCCAGAUCAUUCCGGAACGAAGCAAAGUAAAUACAGCUUCUGCAGCGCUGGGAACGUUCAAUAGCGACCUCCAUUUGAGGCGGCUGAGCCAGCUAGGCUAGCUGGGCUUCCGUGUCCCUCCCCCUAUGUGGAAUCUGACAGGAUCCCAGGACAGACAGCUGCGCUCACAGCAACUAAGCCCAACAGAGUCGCAGGAUCCAAAACAAAAUUUACAAGGAAACACUGUUUACAAGGAAACACUGUUCAGCCUUCAGCGUUCAAUAACAAACGACAUACAGCCUGAUCUGGUGGAUAUCAUUCUCAUGAAGCGGAAACCGAGUGAAGGAAAAGCAGCCAACAAGUGCUCAGCAUAUGUGGGAACUCCUUCAAGACCGUUAGAAAAGCAUUCCAAGUUAAGCUGGUUGAGAGAAUGCCAGGAGUGUGCAAAGCUUUCAUCAAGGCAAAGGGUGGC